CGAUUCUGGCUCAGGAUGAACGCUAGCGACAGGCUUAACACAUGCAAGUCGAGGGGCAGCACGGGAGUAGCAAUACAACUGGUGGCGACCGGCGCACGGGUGAGUAACGCGUAUGCAACCUACCUAUCAGAGGGGAAUAACCCGGCGAAAGUCGGACUAAUACCGCAUAAAACAGGGGCACCGCAUGGUGAUAUUUGUUAAAGAAAUUCGCUGAUAGAUGGGCAUGCGUUCCAUUAGGUAGUUGGUGAGGUAACGGCUCACCAAGCCGACGAUGGAUAGGGGAACUGAGAGGUUGGUCCCCCACACUGGUACUGAGACACGGACCAGACUCCUACGGGAGGCAGCAGUGAGGAAUAUUGGUCAAUGGGCGAGAGCCUGAACCAGCCAAGUCGCGUGAAGGAAGAAGGAUCUAUGGUUCGUAAACUUCUUUUGCAGGGGAAUAAAGUGCGGGACGUGUCCUGUUUUGUAUGUACCCUGAGAAUAAGGAUCGGCUAACUCCGUGCCAGCAGCCGC
rnacentral:rRNA from 1 species